CAUCAAAGGUUUACAGGUUGUUUGAUAAACGUUUUGACCCGUUCGAGGAAGACCUGAACGGGUCGAAACGUUGAUCAAACAACCUGUAAACC